GGGGGGAGCGCCGGAUCCUGGGCUGUGUCCCAUGAUGCCCUGGGCUCCGGGGCCUGCGCCACUGAAAUCGGCUCUGGGGGCCACGCAGCCCCCU
rnacentral:pre_miRNA from 1 species